UACGUAGGUGGCAAGCGUUUGUCCGGAUUUACUGGGCGUAAAGAGCGCGCAGGCGGUCGAUUAAGUCGAGUGUGAAAGCCCCCGGCUCAACUGGGGAGGGUCACUUGAUACUGGUCGACUCGAAGGCAGGAGAGGGAAGUGGAAUUCCCGGUGUAGUGGUGAAAUGCGUAGAUAUCGGGAGGAACACCAGUGGCGAAGGCGACUUCCUGGCCUGUUCUUGACGCUGAGGCGCGAAAGCUAGGGGAGCAAACGGG
rnacentral:rRNA from 1 species